rnacentral:rRNA from 1 species
GACGAACGCUGGCGGCGUGCCUAAUACAUGCAAGUCGAGCGGGCCUCCGGAGGUGCUUGCACCUCCGGAAGGCCAGCGGCGGACGGGUGAGUAACACGUGGGCAACCUGCCUUUGAGGCCGGGAUAACACCGGGAAACCGGUGCUAAUACCGGAUACGUCCUCUUUCGCGCCUGCGAGAGGGGAGAAAGACGGUCUUUAAGGCCGUCGCUCAAAGAGGGGCCCGCGGCGCAUUAGCUGGUCGGUGGGGCAAGGGCCUACCGAGGCGACGAUGCGUGGCCGACGUGAGAGGGUGAUCGGCCACACUGGGACUGAGACACGGCCCAGGCUCCUGCGGGAGGCAGCAGUAGGGAAUCAUCCGCAAUGGGCGAAAGCCUGACGGUGCAACGCCGCGUGAGUGAGGAAGGUUUUCGGAUCGUAAAGCUCUGUUGUGAGGGAAGAACAGCAUCCGGAGGAAAUGCCGGAGGUUUGCCGGUACCUCACCAGAAAGCCCCGGCUAACUACGUGCCAGCCGCCGCGGUAA